rnacentral:rRNA from 1 species
AUUGAACGCUGGCGGCAUGCUUUACACAUGCAAGUCGUACGGUAACAGGUCUUCGGAUGCUGACGGGUGGCGAACGGGUGAGUAAUGCAUCGGAACGUGCCCAGUCGUGGGGGAUAACGCAGCGAAAGCUGCGCUAAUACCGCAUACGAUCUAUGGAUGAAAGCGGGGGACCGUAAGGCCUCGCGCGAUUGGAGCGGCCGAUGUCAGAUUAGGUAGUUGGUGGGGUAAAGGCCCACCAAGCCAACGAUCUGUAGCUGGUCUGAGAGGACGACCAGCCACACUGGGACUGAGACACGGCCCAGACUCCUACGGGAGGCAGCAGUGGGGAAUUUUGGACAAUGGGCGCAAGCCUGAUCCAGCAAUGCCGCGUGCAGGAAGAAGGCCUUCGGGUUGUAAACUGCUUUUGUACGGAACGAAACGGCUCUCUCUAAUACAGGGGGCUAAUGACGGUACCGUAAGAAUAAGCACCGGCUAACUACGUGCCAGCAGCCGCCGUAAAAC